GACGAACGCUGGCGGCGUGCUUAACACAUGCAAGUCGAACGGAAAGGCCCUGCUGUUGUGGGGUGCUCGAGUGGCGAACGGGUGAGUAACACGUGAGUAACCUGCCCUUGACUUUGGGAUAACUUCAGGAAACUGGGGCUAAUACCGGAUAGGAGCUCCUGCUGCAUGGUGGGGGUUGGAAAGUUUCGGCGGUUGGGGAUGGACUCGCGGCUUAUCAGCUUGUUGGUGGGGUAGUGGCUUACCAAGGCUUUGACGGGUAGCCGGCCUGAGAGGGUGACCGGCCACAUUGGGACUGAGAUACGGCCCAGACUCCUACGGGAGGCAGCAGUGGGGAAUAUUGCACAAUGGGAGGAAGCCUGAUGCAGCAACGCCGCGUGCGGGAUGACGGCCUUCGGGUUGUAAACCGCUUUCGCCUGUGACGAAGCGUGAGUGACGGUAAUGGGUAAAGAAGCACCGGCUAACUACGUG
rnacentral:rRNA from 1 species